rnacentral:rRNA from 1 species
UACGUAGGGUGCAAGCGUUAAUCGGAAUUACUGGGCGUAAAGCGUGCGCAGGCGGUUUUGUAAGACUGUCGUGAAAUCCCCGGGCUUAACCUGGGAAUGGCGAUGGUGACUGCAAGGCUAGAGUUUGGCAGAGGGGGGUAGAAUUCCACGUGUAGCAGUGAAAUGCGUAGAUAUGUGGAGGAAUACCGAUGGCGAAGGCAGCCCCCUGGGAUAACACUGACGCUCAUGCACGAAAGCGUGGGGAGCAAACAGG